UGAAAAGUGCCUACCCCUGGCCUGGGAUGCUUCCUCCUGGGAUGCUCCCACUUGGAACCCAACUAUUGUGCUGCAGAAGUUUAACUUAACUGUGUAAGGAGGCCAAGAGGAGGCCCUGGCUGCCAGCCAGCAUCAACUUCCAGUGACGUGAGUGUGCCAUUCUGGAACUGGAUCCUGCAGCCUCGGUGGAGCAGCCUCAGCUGAUGCCAUGUGGAACAGAGAUGAACUGCCGCUGCCGAGCUCUGCCCACGUUGCAGAAUCAUGAGCAAAUAUGUUGUGGAUUGGCUGUAACUCUGCUCUGGGAUCCAGGCUGAAGGAGCAGGCUCUAUCUGGAACAUUACUAGUCUCCAGGCAGAAGAAAAAGAGACAAUGGAAUGGAUGAUUGAAUGGAUGAAUGAACUCCACAGGAAGAUGAGGAAAGCCUUUAUGGAUGGAGUGAGCUUGCAGCAGAGUCUCAAAGGAAGAAGAAAUAAAACAAACUUCUACAUGGCAAAAUAAACCUCUACAUGGCAAAAUAAACCUCUACAUGGCAAAAUAAACCUCUACAUGGAUAGAGAUCUGUCUCAGACACAUUUUGGUUUCCAUGACUUCUGAAUGGCAGCAUGAGGAGCUCCAUGAACCCUCUCCCCAGUGAAAUGACCAUAAUCUCUGGAAAUUGCUUAAGAUCAAAGCCACAACUAUUUAAAGCCUUUGGAAAUUGUUUUAUGGGGAUGCGGCAAAUUAAUAAACUUUUAUUCAAG
rnacentral:lncRNA from 1 species